UUGAAACUCUUGAGCUAUUUGCUUCUUAUUAUGCUGGGAUCCUUUAUCUCUCUUCAUUUGCACCAUUCUCUUCUUCUUGGCAUAGAAACUGCUCCACUUAUCUUCUCUUUUCUCUUACACUUCCAGAAAAACCUAUCCUUCUCUCAUCCCUUCAUAACUUCAGGACAUGUGAUUGGGUUGGAAGGAAACAAGAAAAAGCUUUGGGUCUGAUUUGCUAUUUGGUGUUACUUGCAGCUGUUUGUAAACUUCUGAGGACAAGAGCAAAGGGAUGAAUUAGUUAGUAUCCCCGAGCUAUCUUAAGGAGCUGAGCCAGGAGACUUUGCUUUGCUCUGCUGUCUGGUUUUGCUAUGAUCCAGCUUUUUUUUUAACAUCCUUGUUAUGUUACUUGCAAAACUACUUUGUUGGGGGCGUAAAUCUGAGGUGGUAUGGUACUCUACUUACGAUGGUUGUGUUGGGGGACUGCAAGUCCUUUUGUGUACUUGUAGCUGAGGAUAUAUUAAGUUUGUAAAUUACAGCUUACUAAGUUGUUUCUUGCUUA